CUGUGUUGAGUCCCCUACUGUAUGAGAUCGUUGUGGUUGGGGAGGGAAGAACACAGCUUUGUAUCUACUGCAUCAUUUACCAAUGAACCACCUGUCUUCAAGAAGCUCAUUAUAGGAGUACUGCCUAAAUAAUGAAUAUAAAAUAACAGGAACACAAGGAAAAUUACAGACAAAAAGAUUUUGUGAGAGUUUCAUUCAAAGUAAUUUGGAUGGAGGAAAAAGGCUGAAUAUUUAUUGAGCAUCCUCUGUAAAGCCAGUUUUACAAAUAUAGUCUCACAUUUUUCACAAUUCACCAAAAUCAACAUCUUUAUCUUCAUUUACAACUAAGGAAAUGACUUAAAGAAGUUACAGUAACCUGCCCAGAGAGAACCACUGCUAACGGGUCAUGCUGUUAACUCAGCUCUAUAUAGGACCACUGGAAUUCCUGAUGACUGAGAGAGAAUCAUAAAAAUAAUAAGAGAUCCAGGAAUUAGGACACAUGAAAGAUAACUGAAAGGAAGUAAAUAUUGGAGAGAAAAGACAGUCUGUUCACACAUCUGAACAACUUUCAGAUGGAUGACACAUUUGAACUCUUCGGCAGGUCUCAAGAGAAUAUGAGCAAGACAAAUGAUUAAAUGUUGCAAAGAUCCUGAGUUCAGCUUCAUUAUAAGAAGAACAGUUAUGGAUAUCUAAAUGAAGAUAAAUUGUUUCUAGUGUCAAUGAACUCCCAUCCAAGCAGGAUCUGGAUUAAUGUCCUGUGGCUGAAAACUCCUCUUCACGAUGAAUACUUCGAGUGGCUAGACUCUUGCUGGGGCUAUUUUACAGGCCUGGAAUUCAAUCGUUUGGCUUCACUGUUGCGUUGCACUAUGUUCUUCAUUAUCCUUCAUGCUACUUCAUGAGGCCAUUAUUUCAGUUAUAAAUCCAGGAAUAUUUUGACAAAAAUAUACAUCUAGAAGAAGUCAGUCCAAGAGUCCACCAUCCCUCCUAUCUGUGGAAUUCCAGGUGUAGCAAGUAUUACUAACAGUAGAAACAAAGCUGCAUUGGGCCUUUAACUUCAGGUAAUUGGGAUCCGGAGAUAUGGAUCACUCACACUGGAGAAAGAGAGCACAGGAGGACAAGUAAGAAAAAGAACUAUGGAGAAGUGAAAAGGGGAGCCAAAAAUGGACAAGUGGCAUAUGUAUAAAUGGAAAAUGAAAGUGGGAUGGACUCGCAGAUGGAGUGUUUGGACUUCACAGUUGGGACUGCCGGAUGUGAGACCUCCCAAGAUUCCAGGACAAGCAAAGGGAUGAUUUCAUCCUUUACUAUACAUCCAGCCAUACACUGCUGGCUUGGAGCAUCCAGUGUGAAGCAAGAGACAAGAGACGUGUCCUCAUUCAAGGUUAAAAGUGAGGUCAAAGUCACCUUUCAAGCUGGAAUGGGAAGAGAACAGGAACUGGGGCUCAGAAGAUCUGGUUAUUACUUCUUUUUACUAGUUAAUCUAUGGCUUUGCGCAAUGGCAGAUUCAAAUUAAAUACACAUUUAUAGGAGGCUUAUUGGUACCAGAAGUUUUCAAGGUAAAGAGAAUACAGUUCUCAGAUUCUUGAUAUCACAUUUUAGGGAGAAGGAAAAGAAAAAGCAUAAUUAUUGUCUGAAGCAAAAUAUAAAUCAUUCUUUAAGGAUAAUAACUCAAUCAACUAAAGAAGCUCUGAAAAACUAGAUGUGGUAUCUGAGCUGAUUAUUAAAGGAUAUUGUCCAGUAGGGUAUUCCAGGCCAAGGGACGAGCAAAAUCAAAGGGAUAGAGGCUUGGAUAUAGGGACAUUUUAGAAGUUGUGAUUUGUGGUAGGAUGUCAUUAUUGUGAUGGUGUUCAUUAAUAAGUUAGGAUUUUAUGGAGGCAGAAUGUGAUGAGGAAAGGGGGACUUCUGGGAAUUUUUGAAUAAUUAUAAAUCAUACUACAUUUUAGAAAAAAAAUACAACAGAAUAAAUUUCUUAUCUCCAACCCCUGAAAUGGAUAUUUAAAAAAAUGCGGAUUUCAGUCCUGAUUGUCAUUUUAACAAAUGAUGGGUCCUUAGCCAGUUCACUUCCUUACUUCUGCUCUUCAGACUUUAGUCUGAAACAAAAAGCUUUAGACUUUGACUCUUUCCAGGCCAAAAUCAACACAACAUAGUCUCUGUGGUGGUCAGGAUAAUGGAGAAGUGAGUGACUCCCUUCAGUUGUGCUAGCCAUCGGGACAAAAAGCAAUCUCUGAACUACUACAAGUCACCUUGCAUAUAUGGAUUAAUCCCGAAAGCCAGCUCUACACUGGCUGUUCUUUUGUGGAGAGUGAUGUCACUGUCCUCACACCAACCCUAGUUGAGUUCGGGGCAUAGACAAUCCCUGAUAGCACCUUUUUAUGACAAUGAUACAAAAUGCAUCUUGCAUGUCAGUUGUCCUUCAGGGACAUGCUCUCAUCUCUAGGCUGGAUGUUCACUUCUGAGCUAUGGACUAAAACUACUUCCUAAAUAUUAAUUGGAAAUUUCACUGGUGGGUAUCUAUAGCAAAAUCUUUUUCAAAAGGAUCUGUGUGCAAUUCCCUAAAAUGUUAUUGCAUGUUAAAGAUUAGUUAGCAUUUUGAGGAACAUGAGUGUUUAACUGUCUGUUCCAAGAACAAGAAUAAUAAUACAAUUUUACAGAGGCUUACUGGUAAGCAAAACCCAUAAACUUCUGAAGAUUUUCAUUGACGUUGGACUUCUAAUUUCCAAAAUGUCAUAUGGAGCCACUGCAUUCAGAAAACUCACAGACAAUGAUAAGGAUACACAACAACACAUGUGACCAAGUCAUUGUUUAGACUGGGCAAAUUCUUUACUCUAGAUUUAGUGCCAAGUUGUCAUGAAAAUUUGGGGUUUAAACUAGGAUUCAAAGCAUGUGUAAGACUUGUGUGAAUACAGGUUCAGGGACAGUCUACCUGAUAGAAAAAUUACAGGUUCAAAGAUUAGGAUGAAUCCUGUUUCUGUGCAGAGUAUAGAAGAGAGAGAAAAAUAGUGUGCCGAUUGAUUGGAUUAAAAUUUCGAGUACUGAGCAUAAAAUAAAAACUAGGUGUGAGCCAUUACUCUAAAAUUCUUAAAUAACAGAAUGAGUAGUUUUGGUUUUUAUUUCAACUUUAGUGGAGCUCCUCCGUGAUUAUCAACUGGCUAUUUUUGUGAGGUGGGCAGUAUCGUGCCCAUGGUAAAGAAGGGGACACAGGAGCCAAGGGAGAUAGACUGUGUCCUAGAUCUACAAGCUGGGAGUGGUGAGGCCAGGGCAAGAGCCCAAUCCCUCAGUCGCCAGGUGUUUGGCCUCUCAAACAGCAAGUAGCUGUUGCAAGUUCUGGUUUCAAUCAUCUAAUACGUUCUCAAUGUAAACACAAAUUUUGAAAAACAGCAUUGAGCCCCACAGAGAGAACCUGGCAAAAUAUGUCCAGAGCUUCUCUAUGCACUCAACAUUGUUUCUGUAGAGAUAAUAACAGUAGGAAAAAAAUAAAUAUAGCCUCCAGAAGUCAUCCAUAAGUCCUUCCAGAAGGCCACCUGAAUUUCUGGAAUGGCUCUGCUAUUCUGAUGUGACAUUUAUGAAAAGUAGUGUGAAGUUUGUGGUAAGAAAAUGAUUUUAAUUUGCUCAAAGACCACCUCUUAACAUUUUGUAUUUUAAGAAAAUAGACAAGAAAGCUCUGAAUAUUAGGAGACCAAAAUAUAUGGUGACCGAAGAUUAUUUUUGCAUUUUUGGUGCUCUAAACGUGCGUUAACUCUCCGGUCUGAGAAUACUGCUUGGCAAGCCCUUGUCUCUCACAGAACAAAUAACAUCACAAAGUAGCAGUGUUCCUCUAAAGAAAGUGAACAGAAAUCAUCUCAAACCAACCAUCCUGGAAUUCUUUCUUGGAGAACACCUAAUCCCUAGAGUA